rnacentral:rRNA from 1 species
GGGUAACCUGCCCUAUGCUGGGGAAUAACCUCGGGAAACUGAGAAUAAUGCCCCAUAGCCCACUACGCCUGGAACGGUGAGUGGGUCAAAGCUUCGGCGGCAUAGGAUGGGCCUGCGCCGUAUCAGGUUGUAGGGGGUGUAAAGUACCCUCUAGCCAUCAACGCGUACGGGUGUUGGGAGACAUUGCCCGGAGAUGGAUUCUGAGACACGAAUCCAGACCCUACGGGGUGCAGCAGGCGCGAAAACUUGGCAAUGCGAGCAAUCGUGACCAGGGAACUCCAAGUGCUUAGGGUAAGACCUAAGCUUUUCUCGACUCUUCAAAGGUCUUGGAAUAAGGGGUGGGUAAGGACGGUGCCAGCCGCCGCGGUAAUACCGGCGCCUCAAGUGGUAGUCGCUUUUAUUGGGCCUAAAACGUCCGUAGCCGGUCUGGUGCAUUCGUGGGUAAAUCAACCCGCUCAACGGGUUGAAUUCUGCGAGCACGGCCAGACUUGGGACCGGGAGAGGUGUGGGGUACUCUCAGGGUAGGGGUAAAAUCCUGUCAUCCUGAGAGGACCACCUGUUGCGAAGGCGCCACACUAGAACGGAUCCGACGGUCAGGGACGAAACCUAGGGGCACGAACCGGAUUAGAUACCCGGGUAGUCCUAGGUGUAAACGCUGUGGACUUGAUGUUGGGGGCGCUCCGAGCGCUUUCAGUGUCGAAGCGAAGGUGAUAAGUCCACUGCCUGGGGAGUACGGUCGCAAGGCUGAAACUU